rnacentral:rRNA from 1 species
UACGUAGGGUGCGAGCGUUAAUCGGAAUUACUGGGCGCAAAGCGUGCGCAGGCGGUUUUGUAAGCCAGAUGUGAAAUCCCCGGGCUUAACCUGGGAAUGGCAUUUGGGACUGCAAAGCUUGAGUGCGGCAGAGGGGACUGGAAUUCCUGGUGUAGCAGUGAAAUGCGUAGAGAUCAGGAGGAAUACCGAUGGCGAAGGCAGGUCCCUGGGCUGACACUGACGCUCAUGCACGAAAGCGUGGGGAGCAAACAGG